AUUGAACGCUGGCGGCAGGCCUAACACAUGUAAGUCGAACGAGUGGCGGACGGGUGAGUAAUGUCGGAGAAACUGCGUGAUGGAGGGGGAUAACUACUGGAAACGGUAGCUAAUACCGCAUACCAUCGGAUGUGCCCAGAGGGGAUUAGCUAGUAGGGGGGGUAAAGGCUCACCUAGGCGACGAUCCCUAGCUGGCCUGAGAGGAUGAGCGGCCACACUGGGACUGAGACACGGCCCAGACUCCUACGGGAGGCAGCAGUAGGGAAUAUUCCACAAUGGGCGAAAGCCUGACACAGCCACGCCGCGUGAAUGAAGAAGGCCCUAGGAUUGUAAAGCACUGUUGUUCGGGAGGCGUUACCUACAGAGGAAGCCACGGCUAACUCCGUGCCAGCAGCCGCGGUAAUAC
rnacentral:rRNA from 1 species